CAGAACGACGCUGGCGGCAUGCCUAACACAUGCAAGUCGAACGAGACCUUCGGGUCUAGUGGCGCACGGGUGCGUAACACGUGGGAAUUUGCCUCGGGGUAUGGAAUAACUCAGGGAAACUUGAGCUAAUACCAUAUAAUGUCUUCGGACCAAAGAUUUAUCGCCCUGAGAUAAGCCCGCGUAGGAUUAGCUAGUUGGUGGGGUAAAGGCUCACCAAGGCGACGAUCCUUAGCUGGUCUGAGAGGAUGAUCAGCCACACUGGGACUGAGACACGGCCCAGACUCCUACGGGAGGCAGCAGUGGGGAAUAUUGGACAAUGGGCGAAAGCCUGAUCCAGCAAUGCCGCGUGAGUGAUGAAGGCCUUCGGGUUGUAAACUGCUUUUGUACGGAACGAAACGGUGAGCUCUAAUACAGUUUGCUAAUGACGGUACCGUAAGAAUAAGCACCGGCUAACUACGUG
rnacentral:rRNA from 1 species